AGUGAACGCUGGCGGUAGGCCUAACACAUGCAAGUCGAACGGCAGCACAGUAAGAGCUUGCUCUUACGGGUGGCGAGUGGCGGACGGGUGAGGAAUACAUCGGCAUCUACUUUUUCGUGGGGGAUAACGUAGGGAAACUUACGCUAAUACCGCAUACGACCUACGGGUGAAAUCAGGGGAUCUUCGGACCUUGCGCGAUUCAAUGAGCCGAUGUCGGAUUAGCUAGUUGGCGGGGUAAAGGCCCACCAAGGCGACGAUCCGUAGCUGGUCUGAGAGGAUGAUCAGCCACACUGGAACUGGGACACGGUCCAGACUCCUACGGGAGGCAGCAGUGGGGAAUAUUGGACAAUGGGCGCAAGCCUGAUCCAGCCAUACCGCGUGGGUGAAGAAGGCCUUCGGGUUGUAAAACCCUUUUGUUGGGAAAAGAAAGCAGCAGGUUAAUACCCCGCUGUUCUGACGGUACCCAAAGAAUAAGCACCGGCUAACUUCGUG
rnacentral:rRNA from 1 species